rnacentral:rRNA from 1 species
UGGGGAAUUUUGGACAAUGGGCGAAAGCCUGAUCCAGCAAUGCCGCGUGUGUGAAGAAGGCCUUCGGGUUGUAAAGCACUUUUGUCCGGAAAGAAAUCCUUGGCUCUAAUACAGUCGGGGGAUGACGGUACCGGAAGAAUAAGCACCGGCUAACUACGUGCCAGCAGCCGCGGUAAUACGUAGGGUGCAAGCGUUAAUCGGAAUUACUGGGCGUAAAGCGUGCGCAGGCGGUUUGCUAAGACCGAUGUGAAAUCCCCGGGCUCAACCUGGGAACUGCAUUGGUGACUGGCAGGCUAGAGUAUGGCAGAGGGGGGUAGAAUUCCACGUGUAGCAGUGAAAUGCGUAGAGAUGUGGGGGAAUACCGAUGGCGAAGGCAGCCCCCUGGGCCAAUACUGACGCUCAUGCACGAAAGCGUGGGGAGCAAACAGGAUUAGAUACCCUGGUAGUCCACGCCCUAAACGAUGUCAACUAGUUGUUGGGGAUUCAUUUCCUUAGUAACGUAGCUAACGCGUGAAGUUGACCGCCUGGGGGAGUACGGUCGCAAGAUUAAAACUUAAAGGAAUUGACGGGGUCAUAGCUGUUUCCU